UAAUAGACUACCCGGUAGUCCACGCCCUAAACGAUGCGAACUGGAUGUUGGGUACAUUACGGUACUCAGUGUCGAAGCUAACGCGUUAAGUUCGCCGCCUGGGGAGUACGGUCGCAAGACUGAAACUCAAAGGAAUUGACGGGGGCCCGCACAAGCGGUGGAGUAUGUGGUUUAAUUCGAUGCAACGCGAAGAACCUUACCUGGCCUUGACAUCUGUCGAAUCCUGCAGAGAUGCGGGAGUGCCGCAAGGAACGACAAGACAGGUGCUGCAUGGCUGUCGUCAGCUCGUGUCGUGAGAUGUUGGGUUAAGUCCCGCAACGAGCGCAACCCUUGUCCCUAGUUGCCAGCACGUAAUGGUGGGAACUCUAGGGAGACUGCCGGUGACAAACCGGAGGAAGGUGGGGAUGACGUCAAGUCCUCAUGGCCCUUAGGCCAGGGCUACACACGUACUACAAUGGUCGGUACAGAGGGUUGCGAAGCCGCGAGGUGAGCCAAUCCCAGAAACCGAUCCCAGUCCGGAUCGGAGUCUGC
rnacentral:rRNA from 1 species